GACGAACGCUGGCGGCGUGCUUAACACAUGCAAGUCUACGAGAACCACAUCCUUCGGGGUGUGUAGUAAAGUGGCGCACGGGUGAGUAACACGUGGGUAACCUACCCCCGGGCUCGGGAUAACUGGCCGAAAGGCCCGCUAAUACCGAAUAAGACCACACGAGCUUCGGCUUGAGGGGUCAAAGACGGCCUAUCGAUGAAGCCGUCACCUGAGGAUGGGCCCGCGGACCAUUAGCUAGUUGGUGAGGUAACGGCCCACCAAGGCUGAGAUGGUUAGCUGGUCUGAGAGGAUGACCAGCCACACUGGAACUGAGACACGGUCCAGACUCCUACGGGAGGCAGCAGUGAGGAAUAUUGCGCAAUGGAGGAAACUCUGACGCAGCAACGCCGCGUGGGUGAAGAAGGCUUUCGGGUUGUAAAGCCCUGUCAGGUGGGACGAAACCACCGGAAGUGAAUAGCUUUGGAACU
rnacentral:rRNA from 1 species